AAAAACAAAGCAGGGCAUGUUACGAGACCAUCUAAAAAUUAUUUUUAAUGUGACCAGAACUUUUUUAUCACUAUACAUUAUUCUAAUAUCUAGUAUAACUUUUUGUUAUUGGCUUAUUUAUGGAAAGAGUAUGACUGGAGAUAUAGAAAUAAGUGUAAAGAGAAAACAGAGAAUCGAAAAUAA